CCUACGGGUGGCAGCAGUGAGGAAUAUUGGUCAAUGGACGAGAGUCUGAACCAGCCAAGUAGCGUGAAGGAUGACUGCCCUAUGGGUUGUAAACUUCUUUUAUAUGGGAAUAAAAUGUUCCACGUGUGGGAUUUUGUAUGUACCAUAUGAAUAAGGAUCGGCUAACUCCGUGCCAGCAGCCGCGGUAAUACGGAGGAUCCGAGCGUUAUCCGGAUUUAUUGGGUUUAAAGGGAGCGUAGGUGGAUUGUUAAGUCAGUUGUGAAAGUUUGCGGCUCAACCGUAAAAUUGCAGCUGAAACUGGCAGUCUUGAGUACAGUAGAGGUGGGCGGAAUUCGUGGUGUAGCGGUGAAAUGCUUAGAUAUCACGAAGAACUCCGAUUGCGAAGGCAGUUCACUGGACUGCAACUGACACUGAGGCUCGAAAGUGUGGGUAUCAAACAGGAUUAGAUACCCUUGUAGUC
rnacentral:rRNA from 1 species